AUUCUCCUGCAGACUCCUGUAGCCCCUAUGCCCAGGGCUCUUCUUGCUCCAGCUAGGGGCUCCUAAAGACAACAGGCCGUCCAGGAGACUUUGAGUUUAUGCCUUGGCCUGCUGGCCCUGGAGAUCCCAUCGUCGGCUUCGUCGAACUCAAAGUCGUCGCCCUACCCUGGUUCCACGAGCUGCCCAUCUCCAGAGAAGAGCAGCUGGCAUUGCCCACCGGCCGUGCUGGCUGAAGAAGAGAGGACAUGAGGACCCCAGGAUGCCCAGCGUGAGGACCCCAGGACACCCAGCGCGAGGACCCCAGGACGCCCAGCUCGAGGACCCCAGGACGCCCAGCGCGAGGACCCCAGGACGCCCAG
rnacentral:lncRNA from 1 species